UUGGUGAUUAUUGUUCAUGUAU
rnacentral:siRNA from 1 species